rnacentral:rRNA from 1 species
GCAACCGAGCGCAACCCCUACGCUGCCAGUUGCCAACCGGGUCGGAAGACCGGGCGACUCUGGCGGGACGUGCCAUCGACAAGAAUGGAGGAAGGUGGGGAGUGACGUCAAGUCAUCAUGGCCCUUAUGUCCAGGGCGACACACGUGCUACAAUGGCCGGCACAGCGGGAAGCGAGGCAGUGAUGCCAAGCGGAUCCCUUAAAGCCGGUCUCAGUUCGGAUUGAAGUCUGCAACUCGACUUCAUGAAGCUGGAAUCGCUAGUAAUCGCAGAUCAGCCAAGCUGCGGUGAAUACGUUCCCGGGCCUU